UUAAAACGAGAAAAACAAAUGUCGUAUACUUAACCAAAUUCUAUGGUAUUAUUCUGGUUUUAAUUAUUUUCGAAAAGUUUAAAUAAUCGUUCUCGCUGGAUUUAUCGAGCAAUAGCAAGCUCUCCUUCGAACGAAAUGGGAUAAUAUUAAUCGUCCAAAGAAUCGCGCACCCGACACAAUACGAUACGCUCGCACUGGCCCUGAGAGAAAUGUGUUUUCAAGGUUAAAGAAUAAAAAAACAGCAAAAUGCAAGAAUUUGAAUGCAGACAGCAGUGGUUAAAUAUAACAAUUCAGCUCGAUGAAGGAUAAUCUUCAAUUUGUCACGAUAGCAAAUCUCUUUUAUUUACAACAGUUUCUGGGAGAACAGAGUCUGUAAAUAAAUCUACAUCGGAGCAUCGUCACGCAAAGAUACGAAAAGAAGCGUACUGAUAAGUGAUAACCCUGUAUGAUGCGUGCGCAGCACUCGAAGAUAAAUGCGAUUUAUUAUCCUUAAGAAGAAAUGGCAAGGGAUUUCAUAGCAGGAUAUCUUCCAUGUCAAAGGAAAUUUAAGAGUCUCCGCGGCCUCUAUAAAAAGGUCUUUUCCUUGGUUUCUCCUGAUACUUCGCGUAAAUAUGACAAACGCCAACGAAAGCUAUAGAAAUUUCGUAUAGUUUAGUCACGCGAUGGAUUAGUAAAUAAACUUCUUUUUCCCCCUUUAUUAAUAAAAUUAUAAUUAUUUCAUUAUUAUAUAAAUAUAAUUUCUCGCCGCAAUACGUUAAACCUCUUUACUUAGCCAUUUGCAAUUUUGGGAUUAAAAUAAUCCUGCACAUAUUCUGCACAUAUAAUCUUCUCAUCAUGUAUAGCUUUAAAUCGACUUAUUAGGAACUUUAUUUUACUGUAUGUUUAUUAAAUUAUAAUAAUAUGUAUUUUAAAUGAAAAAUAUAAAAUUAUCCUUAAGAAAAAAAAAUUGAUUGCUGUAUCAGUAACUUAAGUAAGGUUGCUGUAUUAUCAGUUACUGAUACAGCAAUCAGUUUUUUGGAACUCUUUUUCUUAAGGAUAUCGUUAUAUAAUAUUAUAUGUCAGAUUAUAUUAUAUGAUGAUUUUUGCAAUUGUAUUCGAUAUCGACCUAUGAGUAGUAUUUCUGAUGAGUUAAGUAUAGAAAUAAAAUCAGAAGCUAUGUAAUUUUGAUGAAUACUGAACUUUUAAUCAAUUCUAAGUUUCAAAAUUUUAGUUGCAAGGUUAUAAUGACAUCAUUGGUUAUAAUGGUACUUGAAAUAUUUGUACGUGAUAUAUUUUGCGCAUACCUUUCUUAAAAACAGAAAAUGCUAAUUUAAUCGCAAAACAACUAAAUAAAUUCGCUGUCAACUCGA